rnacentral:rRNA from 1 species
UACGAUGGGAGGCUAGCGUUGCUCGGAAUCACUGGGCGUAAAGCGCACGUAGGCGGACUCUUAAGUCAGGGGUGAAAUCCUGGAGCUCAACUCCAGAACUGCCUUUGAUACUGAAGAUCUUGAGUUCGGGAGAGGUGAGUGGAACUGCGAGUGUAGAGGUGAAAUUCGUAGAUAUUCGCAAGAACACCAGUGGCGAAGGCGGCUCACUGGCCCGAUACUGACGCUGAGGUGCGAAAGCGUGGGGAGCAAACAGG